GCUACUUUUACCGCCGCGGCGGAGAGCGGUCCAAAUGUGCCGAAAAUCGUAGUCGUAAUCUUAAUUGUCCGGGCUUUAAUUGAAAAUGAGUUUUGUAAAAGUAUGUAAAAGCAUUUCCCUUUCAAGCGCAGUCGAGCGCUGCCGGCGAACGGUUCAGGUGAACAGAACGCUAGUUUUGCAUAUCCGAAACACUGAUUUUAGAGAAACUUAACUUGGAAAGUAUUUUUAACUAUAAAUAAUUUUAAAUUCAGAAAUCCUUAACUUUUCUUUUUUAUAUAUUACAACACAUCUUUAAAUUGUAGUAAAGUUAAAAUUUUCAUGUUGAUAUUCAACAAAAAUACUUCUUGUAAUUUGAACUGGUGUUUCUUAAACGGUACGUUUUUACAACAACUAAAUAUUUUAACUCCCUAACGUUGGGAAUAAGGUAGGGAACUAUCAUAAACACAAAUACAAUAUAUUGCUAUGUUACAAUUUAUUUACUUAAACUUAAACUAAAUAAGCCAUUUUAAUAGUUGCUUAAACUAACUAUUACUUUUACUAUUAUUAUUAAGAUAUUUUUUAAAAAGAACUGCCCAAUUGUUAGACCUUAGAAUUUCAUGAUUUGGCCAUUGCUACGGUAUCAUUAAUCUAAAAGAAAAGUGACAUUUAUGGCACAUGCAAGACAAGAUGCUAAGGAAUCCAAGAUGACAAUGACAAAUUGAUAUCGGUUAUUUUUUCCCCGGAUGUGUGUGAAGUCAUUAUGUAUUCGGAAUCGCACCCGAUCACGUUCUGAGGGCAGAGAAUCUAUGUCAAAACUAAGUCGGCGACCAGAAACCAAUGGCAGUGACAGUGCCAAUAAUAAUAAUCAUAACCCCAUUCAGAAAAGGGAAAGUCGCGGAUACAUCAGCGAGAAAUGUGUGGUAUGCGGUCUGCCCUUCUUUCCGAUGGAUGUGCAAAUUUUAUGCGCCGUCAAAUGGAUGGGGCCAAAACAAACAGCUGCCAUGGCUAACUGGCUAACUGACUAACUGGCCAACCACACGAGUGGCGUCCAGCAGGCUGAGUUAUCGACGGGCAAACACCAGUAGCCCGUCCCACGGCUGUCCCCAGCCAGCCAACUAAGUGACUGACUAAGGCGACUAACUAACUGGAUGGGACAGGUAAAAGUACGCAAAUAGACAGUGACCAGGAGCCCAGGCAAAUGAAAGUCAUCUUCUCAUCCCCGGGCUAGAGAGUUUGGAAAUGCGAAUGCGAAAUGCAAAAUCCAAAAUGCGAAAUGCGAGUGGAUCGCUCGCAUCGGAUAGCGGCAAAUGACCGCGAGCAGGAUGCGAGUGCCACGGCGCAGACCCCACGAAAGUGUUGAAAAUAGUUAAUUAAAGUGUUAUGGAUGUGUGAAAAUGCAAUGAAAAUGCGCUUAUGAAUUGGGCUUCAGCACUAAAGAGGAGAGCGGUGUGAAAACGCUAUUCCAGAUCGGCCAAAGCUCAGCUCAGACAAUCUUGUCUCAGUGAAAGCGAAUUUCGUAUGCAUCUCUUGGCAGGGAACCUCCACGCAUUGCGUGAAUCUCUGACUGCAGUUCACGGAAAGAAAAACCUGCGAAGAGAACUCGUUGAAAGCUAAUUUGGUGGAGUUUCGAUCGUUGCUUUUUAAUUGUCAACAGAAAUAGCUUGGAACACAAUACCCGUUUUCUUUUUGUUACUAAAGUACACUCAAUACAAUACAGUUCAAUCUUAUAAUCAAUAUUUGCUAUUUGGUUUAAACUGGAAUAAAUACGUUACCAAAAGAUAAUUUUCUUUUUAUAGAAAUAUUUUAACAAUAUGUACAAUAUGUACACCAACCAAUUUCGACUUAAAGAAGUACACAUAUAAAUUGUACAUUUUUAUUUACAAAAUGCGCAACGGUGGUAAAAAAAAUGUUUUUAUGAUUACAAAUUAAAUAUUAAUUGAACUUACUCCACGGAGCGUGAAGGGAUGUAAAUGUGAUCAAGCGCUGAAUGUUGAGUUAUUUGACACUUAAUUAAUUUUUGUAUUCGCUGUCUUGGAAGCUGGGAGUCGCUGCCUUGCAGAAAACAUGAGAAACGACACUUUCACUGCAUUGGCCCCGCAGACCUCGAAACCAAGUCCCCGCCCAAAUGAAUGGCCACCUUUGCAGCUGAAACCCAGAGUGCAUCGCAUCGGGAUUGGAUAAGGCCUGUGAACCGCUUUUUGUUCUAUUGUUGUGGCUGGCCAUAUCAACAGCUGCAGACCUUAAACGCCGAAAUCUGUGGCAGUGGAAAAGAGCAGAGCAGAGCAGAGCGGAGCGGAGCGGAGCAUGAAUAUAUGUAUAUAUAUACAACAACAUUCACUGAGGCGGCGCGUGCAGCUCUGCAGCUGGAAAAUGCAAGCCAACAAACUUACUGACUCAAAAAGUGCAUGAAUGAACGACCGAACGGAUGACGAAGUGAGUGCCGGACCUAGCACUCCCAAUUGCCAUUCCCAUUGCCAUGGCCAUUACCAUUACCAUCACCAUUACCAUUACCGUCAGGUGGGUGUUGACAUACACCGAAACAAAAAAUGACAACAGACUCCCACACUGCCAAUGAUGGUACUGACGGCACUGCAGUCAAUCACGGAGUGAAACCGCAAAACAACCUGCAACUGCCACUUAAUAUCUUUAUUUUGAGCAUACAGAGCGGCAACAUUGAGUCAAGUGGGCGUCAUUUAUUUGGCCCAGUUCAAAACAAAAAAACUGAAAACCCCAAGAUGAGUGGAGUUUUUAGUUUUUCUUGAAAAGUCGUUAUUUAGAAAAAGAAAUAAGUAUAAGUAGAAAAAGUAUUUUUUCAGAGAAAUAAGUAAGCUUUAAAAGAAUGAAUAGAGUGUAUUAUAAAAAUGCUCAAAUUAAUAGCUUUUUAACAAAAUGCAUAGCUUUUAAACUUUUUUAAAAAUGAUUGUGACUUUUGACUGGUUUCUUUUAAGUUAUGCGUUUUCUUUAGAUGCAAUAUUUUCGGUUUUUUAAGUAACUGAAUUUAUGCAGUCAAGUGACUCAUCAGUUUGAUAGGCAUAUUUAACUUGGUACUUAACGCAGCAAUUGACAACACUUAAUUUUCACACAAACACACUUAACCAACUUUAAAAACAUGAGUGGAGUUUCCAACUGCGGGUAGCCGUCAAAUACAGUGGUAAUUGACUUUCUUUGUGCCGUUUAUUGCAGUGUAAAUGUGAGAAUUUUCCAGGGAGGAGGUUUACGACAUAGUCGUAAUGCCCGAACCUGCGUCUAAAGAUGCAAGCUCACUCUUACUCACUUAUGACCGCCUUAAUGGCCCACUGUCUGCUGGAAUAAUAGGGAGUUUGGUUGGCCGCCCUGUCAUGGGAACAGCGGCCUAAGCCCCGCGGCGCAGGAAAAGGUCAGAUCAGACAGACGCAGGCAAAUUAGCGGUCUGUGCUGUAAUCAUUUAGCUGAAAAACCUGCCACGCCCAUUAGCAUAACCGCCGAGCAGGCCCACCUGGCAACCGCCGCCGGAGAUACAAAUUAUAAAUGCACGAGUCCGACUCGAAAUCGGAAUCGGAGGCAUCACUUUCACUUUCCGUGGAACGCUAAUAUGCAUCUAGCGAGCCAAAAUCGAAAACACAAACCAAAAAUAAAACAUUUAUGGAUAUGGCUCACACUCGAAAUUAUCUAAUUCAGCGGGCAUAAUCAAAACGGUAAGGCUAAUUCCAUGACGCGAUGACGCUGUCGAUGGCAUCCAUUGCGAAAUCGGAGCACGGAUGUCUCGGAGACAUUUUCAAGUCCACACGUAGGGCAUAUUGACUAUAUUGACAGGUAGACUUCAUUUACUUAAUAAUGCUUCCAAAGUUAAACAAAAUUGUUGGUAAAUGGAACAAAUUUAAUUGAAAUACGUUAGUAGCGGGAUAUUUAAAAAAUUAUUACGAGAUCACUUAUUAAAUAAAAGAGUGUAUAUUUGUUUUGUGAUACUUUAACUUCUACUUACAUUAAGUAAAAAAAAAUAUAAUUGUUAGCUUGUAAAUAUUUGAUUUAACAUAAGUAUAUAUAAUAUUAUUCAUUAAAUCGAAAUCCAACUAUAAAACUUUGUAAGUCUUUCUUAAAAGUAGAGAGUGUAUGAUUAAUGCGGAGCUCGGUGUUCGUGAUGUUUCCAUUUCUUGUUUACUGCAGCAUUUAUUUAAUAAUUUAUUAGCGUUUGUUUUUC